UAACACAUGCAAGUCGAACGGUUAAACCGCCCUCGGGCGGACAUACAGUGGCGAACGGGUGAGUAACACGUGACCAACCUGCCCCGCGCUCCGGGACAACCGCUGGAAACGGCGGCUAAUACCGGAUACUCCGCGGCCCCCGCAUGGGGGCGGCGGGAAAGCCCCGACGGCGCGGGAUGGGGUCGCGGCCCAUUAGGUAGUAGGCGGGGUAGAGGCCCACCUAGCCGACGAUGGGUAGCCGGACUGAGAGGUCGAUCGGCCACAUUGGGACUGAGAUACGGCCCAGACUCCUACGGGAGGCAGCAGUGGGGAAUUUUGCGCAAUGGGGGAAACCCUGACGCAGCAACGCCGCGUGCGGGACGAAGGCCCUCGGGUCGUAAACCGCUUUCAGCAGGGAAGACCACGACGGUACCUGCAGAAGAAGCUCCGGCUAACUACGUGCCAGCAGCCGCGGUAAUACGUAGGGGGCGAGCGUUAUCCGGAUUCAUUGGGCGUAAAGCGCGCGUAGGCGGCCGCCUAAGCGGAACCUCUAACCCCGGGGCUCAACCUCGGGCCGGGUUCCGGACUGGGCGGCUCGAGUGCGGUAGAGGAGAGCGGAAUUCCCGGUGUAGCGGUGGAAUGCGCAGAUAUCGGGAAGAACACCGAUGGCGAAGGCAGCUCUCUGGGCCGUCACUGACGCUGAGGCGCGAAAGCUGGGGGAGCGAACAGGAUUAGAUACCCUGGUAGUCCCAGCCGUAAACGAUGGAUACUAGGUGUGGGGGGAUCCCCCCUCCGUGCCGCAGCCAACGCAUUAAGUAUCCCGCCUGGGGAGUACGGCCGCAAGGCUAAAACUCAAAGGAAUUGACGGGGGCCCGCACAAGCAGCGGAGCAUGUGGCUUAAUUCGAAGCAACGCGAAGAACCUUACCAGGGCUUGACAUGCGCCUGAAGCCGCGGAGACGCGGUGGCCGAGAGGAGGGCGCGCAGGUGGUGCAUGGCUGUCGUCAGCUCGUGUCGUGAGAUGUUGGGUUAAGUCCCGCAACGAGCGCAACCCCCGUCCCGUGUUGCCAGCAUUAGGUUGGGGACUCGCGGGAGACUGCCGGCGUCAAGCCGGAGGAAGGUGGGGACGACGUCAAGUCAUCAUGCCCCUUAUGCCCUGGGCUGCACACGUGCUACAAUGGCCGGUACAGAGGGUUGCCACCCCGCGAGGGGGAGCGGAUCCCGGAAAGCCGGCCCCAGUUCGGAUCGCAGGCUGCAACCCGCCUGCGUGAAGCCGGAGUUGCUAGUAAUAGCGGAUCAGCACGCCGCGGUGAAUACGUUCCCGGGCCGUGCACACACCAACCGUCAAG
rnacentral:rRNA from 1 species